rnacentral:rRNA from 1 species
AGCCUGAUGGAGCAAUACCAUGUGAAUGAAGAAGGUCUUUUUGAUUGUAAAGUUCUUUUAUGAGGGAUAACAACUGAUAGUACCUCAUGAAUAAGUGACAGCAAACUAUGUGCCAGCAGCUGCGGUAAUACAUAGGUCGCAAGCAUUAUUCGGAUUUAUUGGGCGUAAAGCAAGCGCAGGCGGAUGUGUAAGUUCUGUGUUAAAAGUAGCUACUUAAUAGUUGUUUGCACCGAAUACUACAUGUCUAGAAUGUGGUAGGAAGUUUUGGAAUUAAACAUGGAGCGGUGGAAUGUGUAGAUAUGUUUAAGAACACCGGAGGCGAAGGCGAAAACUUAGGCCAUAAUUGACGCUUAGGCUUGAAAGUGUGGGGAGCAAAUGGGAUUAGAUACCCCAGUAGUCCACACCGUAAACGAUGGGUAUUAGGUAUUGGGGCUUAAGCCUCAGUGCUGUAGCUAACGUGUUAAAUACCCCGCCUGGGUAGUACAUAUGCAAAUAUGAAACUCAAAGGAAUUGACGGGGACCUGAACAAGUGGUGGAGCAUGUUGCUUAAUUCGAUAAUACACGAAAAACCUUACCAAGGUUUGACAUCCUUCGCGAAGCUAUAGAAAUAUAGUAGAGGUUAUCGGAGUGACAGGUGGUGCAUGGCUGUCGUCAGCUCGUGUCUUGAGAUGUUUGGUUAAGUCCCGCAACGAGCGCAACCCUACUCUUUAGUUAUUUUUCUAAAGAGACUGCACAGUAAUGUAGAGGAAGGUUGGGAUCACGUCAAGUCAUCAUGCCCCUUAUGCCUUGGGCUGCAAACGUGCUACAAUGGCAAACACAAUGUGUCGCAAAUCAGCGAUGAUGAGCUAAUCACUAAAUUUUGUCUCAGUUCGGAUAGAAGGCUGCAAUUCGCCUUCUUGAAGUUGGAAUCACUAGUAAUCCCGUGUCAGCUAUAUCGGGGUGAAUGCGUUCCCAGGUCUUGUACACACCGCCCGUCAAACUAUGAGAGGAGUGGGCAUUUAAAAAUGUAUUCAUUUGCAU